GCCUUCGUGGAUCAUGGUGAUCGCCUCGAGUAUAUAGGACGGCACCCAGUGUAACGAGGAGAGGAGGUUCGAAUCCUCCCGAAGGCA